UACGAAGGGGGCUAGCGUUGCUCGGAAUUACUGGGCGUAAAGGGCGCGUAGGCGGCACUGUUAGUCAGGCGUGAAAGUCCUGGGCUCAACCUGGGAACUGCGCUUGAUACGGCAGAGCUAGAGGAUGGAAGAGGGUCGCGGAAUUCCCAGUGUAGAGGUGAAAUUCGUAGAUAUUGGGAAGAACACCGGUGGCGAAGGCGGCGACCUGGUCCAUUACUGACGCUGGGGCGCGACAGCGUGGGGAGCAAACAGG
rnacentral:rRNA from 1 species